rnacentral:rRNA from 1 species
UAGUCGGAUUCGGGGCGGGCCGACCGGUCUGCCGAUGGGUAUGCACUGGCCGGCGCGUCCUUCCACCCGGAGACCGCGCCUACUCUUAACUGAGCGGGCGCGGGAGACGGGUCUUUUACUUUGAAAAAAUCAGAGUGUUUCAAGCAGGCAGUCGCUCUUGCAUGGAUUAGCAUGGGAUAAUGAAAUAGGACUCUGGUGCUAUUUUGUUGGUUUCGAACACCGGAGUAAUGAUUAACAGGGACAGUCAGGGGCACUCGUAUUCCGCCGAGAGAGGUGAAAUUCUCAGACCAGCGGAAGACGAACCACUGCGAAAGCAUUUGCCAGGGAUGUUUUCACUGAUCAAGAACGAAAGUUAGGGGAUCGAAGACGAUCAGAUACCGUCGUAGUCUUAACCAUAAACCAUGCCGACUAGGGAUUGGAGGAUGUUCCAUUUGUGACUCCUUCAGCACCUUUCGGGAAACUAAAGUCUUUGGGUUCCGGGGGGAGUAUGGUUGCAAGGCUGAAACUUAAAGGAAUUGACGGAAGGGCACCACCAGGAGUGGAGCCUGCGGCUUAAUUUGACUCAACACGGGGAAACUUACCAGGUCCAGACAUUGUGAGGAUUGACAGAUUGAGAGCUCUUUCUUGAUUCGAUGGGUGGUGGUGCAUGGCCGUUCUUAGUUGGUGGAGUGAUUUGUCUGGUUAAUUCCGUUAACGAACGAGACCGCAGCCUGCUAAAUAGCGACGCGAACCCUCCGUUCGCUGGAGCUUCUUAGAGGGACAACUU